GGGAGAUGUCGAGCUGGGCCGUAUCUCAAUAGUCUCCUCAAUUCCUUGUGUCCUUGAAGAUCUUUGGCUGGGUUGCAUUUCACUUGUCUUUCAUCAAUUCCUUGUAUCCUUUCUCCAGCUUCCUUUUAAAAAGGGAUAGUGUAAAGCGUUUCCUCUCCUUGUUUCCUUUCCUCAUGUGCUCUACUUGCUUGACCCUGAUGUUUUGAGAAGGGAACAUAAUCACUCAGGAAAAGGCUGGUCUGGGAUUGUAUACAAGAGACACGGAAACUCAAGAAACCAUGAUUACCAUUUUUCUGCUCAUCAAAUGUUAUUAGUCACAUGCGCCAAAUACAACAGGUGCAGUAGACCUUACCGUGAAAUGUUUACUCACGAGCCCAUAACCAACAAUACAGUUGAAGAAAAUAGAGUUCAUGGAAACAAUGCUACAGGCUCUGGUCUACGCUACACUUUCACUAUGGACACACAGUUCAGAGGUCACUGGGAUGUGUGUGACAUCCAUGUGGGAUCAAACUGGGCUUCACAAAAAAAAAUGGAGUGUACAGCCAAACAGGUAUUGAAUAGUGUAUCAUGGAUAAUACAAAUGUGUUGAUUCUCGUUUGUGCAUGUACGAGCGCUUGCUUUCUUGGGACUGAAACAACCAAUGCCAGACAGUUGAAAUAACUUGUACUAAUUAAUGACAUUGUCUUUUUUUUUUCUUUGCCAAAGUCAUCAAGGAAAUGAAUGAUGGAUGAACCAACCGCCAACUAACUGUAUGUGUACAUUUCACGGGUCGUUCCACAAAUUCAGUGCCUUUUUGAGAAGUGUAACUUGGUUUAAAAAAAAAAAAAGGUUUGAUUUCACCUCAUUUUAAUAUUCUGUCAUAAAGAGCGCAUAUUCAACUUCAUGACAUGUUUUCCCAUUUCAAGAGUACCACAGUAGGUGCCUAUUCAAUGCCAAAUAAAGUAACAGGGUUGAUGAUCUCAUCGUAAAUCUGCCGUAAAUCCCAUUGUGACGGGAGAAGGAAAGCUCAUGUGCAACAGGGAGUGGCAAUUUAAAUGCAAGAAUCACCAAAAAUGUUUAAUUGUUAAAACAUUUCUAGCCUGUCCGUCUAUGGGUAAAAGGCUAUGGGUAAAAGGGUUGACUUGUAAUGCUCGACACGCUCAGUUUUCCAACACAAAACGCCAGAAAAUGGCCAUAAAGAGUAAAACCAGCUUACAUGAUUUGAUUAUUAGAUGUUCAAUGUCUCGAAUUUUUUUUUUUUUUAAUGAAAAAUGUUGCCCUAUUAAAAUGAGACUUCAGUUCACGCAACAGGGUUCACUUUAAAAUGAGGGACAGGUCAUUUAAUCCCUAAAUAAUCUUUAGAAAUGACUUUUUGUCAAAGUAACAAAAUAACUAGGGCUUUACAAUGAUGGUGAAAACAUGGGGGACGUUUUUGGGGUUAAGUCGGUUAAAAUCUUCCUAGAAGAAGUCGCAGAGGGUGCAAGGGAGGACAUGUCAAAUGCUGAAUUAUGUCACUUUAGCAAGUCUUAUUCAUAUAAAAAAAAAUCGGAUUGAUUGAAUUUUCCAUGUGGUCUAUAUUAAAGGGCGCUUCAUUUAAUAUAACAGGCUUUUUCUCUUUUUUUCUACUUAAAAUAUCAAAGGAAUACAAAAGGACCUUUUUCGUGGAAUGACCCUCCAUAUGAACAUACAGCAGUGUGCCAAAACACUACAGAAGAAGGAACCUUGGUCUCUUUUAAGUCCCAAAUAGCACCUUAUUCCCUUUAAUAGUGCACUACAUUUAACCAGAACCAUAUGGGUCCUGGUCAAAAAGGAGUGCACUACAAAGGGUACCAUUUAGGAUGAAAUCUAGGACUUUCCUUUUAGGUAAUUGUACUGUAUGAUAUGUAAAUGGGCACAACUAUUCAUGCAACACUGAUGAUUUAUACCAAAUUGAGACAACUGUGAACUUCUGUUACUGUAUCAUACUGAAUCCUUCGCCCAAGUACUAGUAUUUGUGUUUUAACGGUGUGGUUAAUGAAUUAAACUGUAAAAAUGAAAAUAUAUCGACCUAAGCUCAUGCAAAUAAUGUGAUAUGUGUACUUUUCAUCAUUGUGAAUAAAUUGUAUCAAUAACUUUUAAAUGCGACCAAAGACGACUAGCAGUGCUAUUUGAUACAGUACCAAAAAAACCCUCAUUAAAUAAAUCUGAAAAUGUAUUCACUCACUGCUGUUAUUCUCUCAGGGUAAGACCCACUGGGCAAACACUGGUUGAAUCAAUGUUGUUACCACGUCCUUUCAAUUAAAUGACUUUGAACCAACGCGCAAUAGACGUUGAAUUGACGUCUGUACUCAGUGGGGAGCGUCUGCUAAAUGACUAAAAUGUAAAUAAAGCUUCCAGAGCCCUGGCACCAUAUUCCCUUUAUAGUGCACUACUUUAGACCAGAGCCCUAUGGCACCCUAUUCCCUAUAUAGUGCACUACUUUAGACCAGAGCCCUAUUGGUCCUGGUCAGAAGUAGCAAGCUACACUAUAUAGGGAAUAAGGCCCUAUUGGUCCUGGUCAGAAGUAGCAGGCUAUUCUAUAUAGGGAAUUGGGCGGCAGCGUAGCCUAGUGGUUAGAGCAUUGGACUAGUAACCGAAAGGUUGCAAGAUUGAAUCCCCGAGUUGACAAGGUACAAACCUGUCGUUCUGAACAAGGCAGUUAACCC
rnacentral:lncRNA from 1 species